AUUACGUGGACCCCUAACUCAAGAGGAGAAGAAUAGAAGGAGAUUGAAUCAUCUCUGCAUGUAUUGUGGUUCUAAAGAACAUAUUCUGAGAGACUGCCCUAUUCUUCUAAAACAGAAGUCAGUGGGAUCAAAGACGACUGAAUAUUGAGGCCAUCGUGGAUACUGGGGCAACUGGUUGUUAUAUAGACAUAAGUUUAAUUGAAAAAAAUAAAAUACCACAUAUAGCAAAAGAAAAA